rnacentral:rRNA from 1 species
AUUGAACGCUGGCGGCAGGCUUAACACAUGCAAGUCGGACGAGCGGCGGACGGGUGAGUAAUGUAUGGGAACGUACCGGGUAGUGGGGGAUAACUACUGGAAACGGUAGCUAAUACCGCAUACUAUCCGAUCAGCCCAUCUGGGAUUAGCUAGUCGGUGGGGUAAAGGCUCACCUAGGCGACGAUCCGUAGCGGGUCUGAGAGGAUGAUCAGCCACACUGGGACUGAGACACGGCCCAGACUCCUACGGGAGGCAGCAGUGGGGAAUAUUGGACAAUGGGCGCAAGCCUGAUGCAGCCAUGCCGCGUGUCUGAAGAAGGCCUUCGGGUUGUAAAGCACUUUCAGCGGGGAGGCGGUACCUGCAGAAUAAGCACCGGCUAACUCCGUGCCAGCAGCCGCGGUAAUUC